rnacentral:rRNA from 1 species
GCGGGAGUGCCUUCGGGAAUUAGAAUACAGGUGCUGCAUGGCUGUCGUCAGCUCGUGUCGUGAGAUGUUGGGUUAAGUCCCGCAACGAGCGCAACCCUUGUCCUUAGUUACCAGCGGGUUAAGCCGGGAACUCUAAGGAUACUGCCAGUGACAAACUGGAGGAAGGCGGGGACGACGUCAAGUCAUCAUGGCCCUUACGACCAGGGCUACACACGUGCUACAAUGGUAGGUACAGAGGGCAGCUACACAGCGAUGUGAUGCGAAUCUCAAAAAGCCUAUCGUAGUCCAGAUUGGAGUCUGCAACUCGACUCCAUGAAGUAGGAAUCGCUAGUAAUCGCGGAUCAGAAUGCCGCGGUGAAU